GGGCCUGUAGCUCAGCUGGUUAGAGCGCACGCCUGAUAAGCGUGAGGUCGAUUGUUCAAGUCAAUUCAGGCCCA
rnacentral:tRNA from 3 species